rnacentral:misc_RNA from 1 species
AUUUUUAGUUAAUAUUUACAAAGAUUAAAAAUACAUUAAUAUUUAUAAAGAUGAUAUAUUUAACACAUUUUUAUGGUAUUUUUUAAGGAAAAUUCUUAUUUAUAUCCAGUGAUAACUUAUUUUAUAUUUCCAAUCAAUAAGAAAUUAAUAAACCAAGAUUAGAUUUAUCAUAUUUUUAGACAGAAUCUAUAAUAAUUUUAAAUAACGUAUUUAUUAUUUAUUAAAUAGAUGUAUACACUCAAUUGUAAGUAAGAACAACUUAUUUUUAAAUGCAUGAAUAAUUAUGAUCUCAGGUAGGGAUUUGGUGGCAGCAACAUGAUUGAUUUUGAUUCUAAGUCUCCCCAAUAGUAAUUAAAGGAAUUCUUCCAGAGAAGAGGGUUGAAUUUGUGUUUUUGGUUUUCUUUUCUAAUGUUUGUUACUCCAUGUUUUUCCACUUGGUAUGGUUAUACUUAGUUCCAUUUUUUCUAAUGAAUGUAAAUUUACAUCCAUUAAAG